UUUCCAUUGUAAGUUACUUUGUCAAUGUUGUAUUGUAACUAUCCAUUUAAACCUGUCACAGUGUAAUUACACACUCCUGCAGAUUUGGUGUUUCAAAGCUUUUGCUGCAGUGAUAGAGCAUGUACAGUUAUUCCUGUGUACCCCUGUGAUUGAUGAAAUUAUUGUUUAAAGGUUGAAAAUCGCUGAUCAGAAAUUUUGCCCGUGGAUGUUGAUUGUUGUUGCUUAUUUUUUGUGGUGGUUAGGUGAAUUUGUGAUUUUUGUGGAUACAGAGAAUUUACUGUAUUUGCAACUCUGCCUCCUGAAUGCAGUUUCCUGCAUAUAUGUACAAGAGGGAUCUCAUGAAAAGCUCUGCAGAUAAUUAAAGUUUAAAGCUCUAAGUUAAAAGUCACUGACAGAGCCGUCCACCAGUGUGCAAUGGGACUGCUCCAAGGAGAGUGAUGAAGGCCCUGGUGCAGGAGUUUCACUCGUCAAUGGGCUGAGGGGCGUGUAUUUUAAGAAUGUUUUUUUUUAAAUGGAAGACGUCAUUGCCACCAGACAGGAUGUCUCAAAGGUGGAAAGAUAUUGUCAGAAAAGUCAUUGAGGAAGUUAACAGCAGUGACCAGAUCGAAUAUGGCGUCAAAAGGCUGUAUCGUUGUUACAAAAUACUUUCUGUUUGUUUUCAACCUGAUUUUUUUUUUUCUCGGUGGAGUGAUGUUGGGAUUUGGCCUUUGGAUUUUGUUUGACAAAAACAGCUUCAUAUCAGUUCUGGGUACGUCUCCGUCCUUUAUCCCUUGUCUCCUGUGCCCCAGCAGUAGUGUUGUACAUGUGCAGGGUCAGGGGAACAUGGGGGAGAGCUGUGGCUAAUCAUUGCGGGUCUGAAAUAGAGUAGAA